AUUGAACGCUGGCGGCAGGCCUAACACAUGCAAGUCGAGCGGAUGAAGGGAGCUUGCUCCUGGAUUCAGCGGCGGACGGGUGAGUAAUGCCUAGGAAUCUGCCUGGUAGUGGGGGAUAACGUCCGGAAACGGGCGCUAAUACCGCAUACGGCCUGAGGGAGAAAGUGGGGGAUCUUCGGACCUCACGCUAUCAGAUGAGCCUAGGUCGGAUUAGCUAGUUGGUGGGGUAAAGGCCUACCAAGGCGACGAUCCGUAACUGGUCUGAGAGGAUGAUCAGUCACACUGGAACUGAGACACGGUCCCGACUCCUACGGGAGGCAGCAGUGGGGAAUAUUGGACAAUGGGCGAAAGCCUUGUCCAGCCAUGCCGCGUGUGUGAAGAAGGUCUUCGGAUUGUAAAGCACUUUAAGUUGGGAGGAAGGGCAGUAAGUUAAUACCUUGCUGUUUUGACGUUACCAACAGAAUAAGCACCGGCUAACUUCGUG
rnacentral:rRNA from 1 species